rnacentral:lncRNA from 10 species
CUCCGCUGUAACAGAGUCUUUUUCUAACUCCAGGAUCUUUUCUUUGUGUGCUCUGUAGAAUGAAGUGUGCUUGUUUUGGUGGGGAUACAUUUACACAGUUCUCCAUGUUUUGUUUCAUCUUUCCUCUCCGUGUUGUUGCUCUCUUUUUCCUUUGCUCUAUCCAAAGAUAUCAGCCAAAGAAGCCAAGAAAAAUGUUAUCUUUACUUUAGAAUUAGGGAUUUCAGAUAUGGGUAGAUGGCUCUGUUAGGCAGAAGUGUCAGAGCUGGUUAUAGGAAAACCAGGCGGCACAUACAUGAUCCCAGACACCGAAGUAACCUCUGUCUCACUCCUCCACUUCCAGCAAGGGAUGGAAAACAAACUGAAACUGGCUCAAGUGAAUGCUCACUGGAAGGCUUACUGGAAAACUUACUGGAAGGAUGUGAGGACAUGUUCGGGAAUCUAUUUGCAGAAAACAUAUUCAGCCCUGUCCACCACAGCCAGCUGGCUGAAGAGCUCAAAAGGCAAGAAAUCAGCAAGAGAGAGAGAUGAAGCAUGAGAAAUGAGCAAAAAACACCCAGCACAUCAUAAUCUUGGACAGUUUAGCAGUACAUGAAAAUAGAUGGUCCUCGCCCCAAGGGACUGCAGUAACCCUGAAUAAACAGGAUGUCUCUCACUUUUAGCAGUUCUUUCUGUGCUAGUAUUGGGGAAAUAUAUUUUUGGCUGCAUGCAAAAUGGUAAAAGACAUCUAUUAAGAAAAUGAAAACAAUGCUUCUGUUUUAGACGAAGCUUUUGAAGGUUUAAGGAUCACCUAUUUAUUGACAAAAUUGUUUCCGUGGCUUAAAAAUAAAAUACAAACAAAUACUACAGGUAUUCUUGCCUUCUCAUUCUACUUAAAAUCACAUUUCCAAAGACUUUCUUCUCUACUUAAAAACAGGAAUUAAGAAAUACUCAAAAGAGAUCCUAGACAAAACUAACAUUUCAGCAACCAAAGAUAAAUCAUGCUUUUAGAGGAAGAUGCUAGGUUCUAGAAUCUCUCUGAACACCGUGUAGCACUAAGAAACUACAAUCACUGGCUGAGACCUUGAUCAAAUAAUGGCUAACAUAUAAGAUGCUUAUUCUAGUCAGGCACACUUCUAAGAGCUGUAUAUCUGCUAAUUCAUUUAUUCUCCUAGGAUAUAAAGGAUCAGCAGAUCCUUCAGGCUCUGGUAUGUUCUGAGAUGAGUUAACCCAGAAAUUGUCAUCAAAAGACAGAUUCAGCAAAACGGAAA